rnacentral:rRNA from 1 species
AUACGGAGGGUGCAAGCGUUACUCGGAAUCACUGGGCGUAAAGCGCGCGCAGGCGGUCUUUUAAGUUGGAUGUGAAAGCCUACGGCUCAACCGUAGAACUGCAUCCAAAACUAUUAGACUAGAGUGUGGGAGAGGAAGAUGGAAUUAGUUGUGUAGGGGUAAAAUCCGUAGAGAUAACUAGGAAUACCAAAAGCGAAGGCAAUCUCCUGGAACACUACUGACGCUGAGGCGCGAAAGCGUGGGGAGCAAACAGGAUUAGAAACCCUAGUAGUCC